CUCUUAUAAAGGGUGAUUUUUUAAGAGCUUGAUAACUUUUUUUUAAAAAAAACGCAUAAAAUUUGCAAAAUCUCAUCGGUUUUUUAUUUGAAACGUUAGAUUGGUUCAUGACAUUUACUUUUUGAAGAUAAUUUCAUUUAAAUGUUGACCGCGGCUGCGUCUUAGGUGGUCCAUUCGGAAAGUCCAAUUUUGGGCAACUUUUUCGAGCAUUUCGGCCGGAAUAGCCCGAAUUUCUUCGGAAAUGUUGUCUUCCAAAGCUGGAAUAGUUGCUGGCUUAUUUCUGUAGACUUUAGACUUGACGUAGCCCCACAAAAAAUAGUCUAAAGGCGUUAAAUCGCAUGAUCUUGGUGGCCAACUUACGGUCCAUUUCUUGAGAUGAAUUGUUGUCCGAAGUUUUCCCUCAAAAUGGCCAUAGAAUCGCGAGCUGUGUGGCAUGUAGCGCCAUCUUGUUGAAACCACAUGUCAACCAAGUUCAGUUCUUCCAUUUUUGGCAACAAAAAGUUUGUUAGCAUCGAACGAUAGCGAUCGCCAUUCACCGUAACGUUGCGUCCAACAGCAUCUUUGAAAAAAUACGGUCCAAUGAUUCCACCAGCGUACAAACCACACCAAACAGUGCAUUUUUCGGAUGCAUGGGCAGUUCUUGAACGGCUUCUGGUUGCUCUUCACCCCAAAUGCGGCAAUUUUGCUUAUUUACGUAGCCAUUCAACCAGAAAUGAGCCUCAUCGCUGAACAAAAUUUGUCGAUAAACACAUUUCGAACCGAACACUGAUUUUGGUAAUAAAAUUCAAUGAUUUGCAAGCGUUGCUCGUUAGUAAGUCUAUUCAUGAUGAAAUGUCAAGCAUACUGAGCAUCUUUCUCUUUGACACCAUGUCUGAAAUCCCACGUGAUCUGUCAAAUACUAAUGCAUGAAAAUCCUAACCUCAAAAAAAUCACCCGUUAGUUU